AACGAACGCUGGCGACAUGCCUAACACAUGCAAGUCGAACGAGACCUUCGGGUCUAGUGGCGCACGGGUGCGUAACGCGUGGGAACCUGCCCUUAGGUUCGGAAUAACUACCCGAAAGGGGUGCUAAUACCGGAUAAUGUCUUCGGACCAAAGAUUUAUCGCCUUUGGAUGGGCCCGCGUUGGAUUAGCUAGUUGGUAGGGUAAAAGCCUACCAAGGCGACGAUCCAUAGCUGGUCUGAGAGGAUGAUCAGCCACACUGGGACUGAGACACGGCCCAGACUCCUACGGGAGGCAGCAGUGGGGAAUAUUGGACAAUGGGCGAAAGCCUGAUCCAGCAAUGCCGCGUGAGUGAUGAAGGCCUUAGGGUUGUAAAGCUCUUUUACCCGGGAUGAUAAUGACAGUACCGGGAGAAUAAGCUCCGGCUAACUCCGUG
rnacentral:rRNA from 1 species